UGAGUCAUGUCUUGGUGGGAUUAUGGCUAUCAGACAGCUGGAAUGGCCAAUAGAACUACUUUGCUGGGUAAUAACACCUGGAAUAACAGCCACGUAGCACUGGUGGGAAAAGCUAUGUCUUCUAAUGAAACAGCAGCCUAUAAAAUCAUGAGGACUCUGGAUGUAGAUUAUGUCUUGCUUAUUUUUGGAGGGGUUCUUGGCUAUUCUGGAGAUGAUAUCAAUAAGUUUCUCUGGAUGGUUAGGAUAGCUGAAGGGGAACAUCCAAAAGAUAUUCGGGAAAGCGACUAUUUUACCCCGCAGGGAGAAUUCCGUGCAGACAAAGCAGGAAUCGCCCAUUUUGUUGAAUUGCCUUAUGCAUAAAAUGUCACACUAGAGAUUUGGAGAAAUGCUGCUGGAUUUUCGUACACCCCCAGGUUUUGGCCGAACACGUAAUGCUGAGAUUGGAAACAAGGACAUUAAAUUCAAACAUUUGGAGGAAGCCUUUACAUCAGAACACUGACUUGUCAGGAUAUAUAAAGUUAAAGCACCUGAUAACAGGGAGACCCUAGACCACAAACCUCGAGUCACCAACAUUUUCCCAAAACAGAAGUAUUUGUCAAAAAAAACUACCAAAAGGAAGCAUGGCGACAUUAAAAAUAAGCUGGUUUUUAAGAAAGGCAAAAAAAUACCUAAGAAGACUGUUUAAACACAUUGUUCUGGUUCCUAACUUGAAGCAGUUGUCCUUGUGAGAACCGGUCUUUGCCUUUAGCUCAUGUCGUGUUUCACAGCAACAGAGGGUACAGAACCAUCACGUGUCCAGGUUAAUGUACAAAAUUUUCUGCCAAUGCCUGAUUCAAAAAAUAAAAUUGGUUUGUUGA